rnacentral:lncRNA from 1 species
GUGUAUUUGGCUACAAUGUUCAGCUGUAUUCUUUUUAUUUUUGUUCUUUUUAUUUUAUUUUUCCCUGUAUUUGAGUGUAAAUGAAUACAUUGUUAAGUUGUAUUCAACCUUAUUUGAUGUGUCAAGGCUGAAUAUAUUCGAUUAUAUUUGAAUGUGUUUACACUAAAAAAUGAUCAAAAUGCAUAAUACAAUUAAAUCCGGCCAACUCUCCGAAGAAAAUACAAAAUACACUAUACUUAAAAAGGAAGAAUACAAUCAAAUCCAGUCGGAUCUUAGGGAAAAUAUAAAAUACCACUUUAUUCAUACUAACAAAAAUAAAGAAUACAAUCAAAUCUCGGACGAGAAUACAAACUAUAUUGUAUUCAAAAUAGAGAAUACAAUCAAAUCUCAUUGGAUCUCUGACGAAAAUACUAAAUACACUUUAGGUCUCUAAUGAAAAUAUAAAAUACACUGUAUUUAUACAGCGAUUUUUUGACAUGAAAGGACGUGGAGAAGAAAGAGGUGACUUCUUUUUACAACGUGAAAAAUAGUGGUGGAGAAAUAAGUAUCAGGUCAGACGAAUACACUCGAUGUGAGAUAUAAAGAAAGAGAAGAAACCAUGGAUUCUGGUAUCUCUGUUAGAUCCAGAUCCAGCGACGCCUCCGAUCUUACACCACUAUUUUCGCCGCAGGUAAUGGAUUGAUCGCAACUUCGUGAUUUCAUAUUGGAUCUGAAAGUGUGUAGUGACGGUGUUUAAGGAUGAUUUGCAGUGAAGGGGUAUACAAAGGAGUAUGGUGAAGUGUAGUAAAGAGAGAAGGAGGCCGCUAUUUAGUUGGGCUAUGUAGAGCUCCGCGGAGAAGAUGGCCGACAGUGACUUCUAUGCUUCCGAGGGAGAAGAGAGAAGGAAAAUGAGAGAGAGUUGAGGGAGAAAAGAGAGAGGGGGUUGAGAUAAAAGAUUAUAUAAUGGAAUAACUCUAUGUAUUUGGUAUAGCUAUGAUGGGUAAAUUGAAAUUUUGAUGUAGCUAUGAAAAA